AGAGGUCAAGAAACAAAUCAGGGGUGUUGCAACCUUGCUGUUUCGUGGGAGAGACAGCAUCAGCACCACGGUUGUCUACAAGUUUUCAAGGAUGGGCGCGCCUGGUAGGAUUCACAAGGUUUUAUUCGACCCAGAUGACAAGAAAAUUCAGUGCGACUGUUCGAUGUGGAAUAGUGAGGGUAUUCCAUGUAGUCACAUAUUCUGCCUGAUGAAGUACGAGGGUUUGGAACAAAUACCGGACAGCCUUAUUGUGAGAAGAUGGUGCAAGGAUGCAAAGGAUUCCAGACGGAUGCCGGUGACAAUGAGACCUGGAGAUGAAGGUCGCAUGCUUAGGUAUGCCGCACUUUCUUCGGCCACAAGCUUGGUCGCAACACUUGGUUCGGAUGAGCGUGAAGACUUCGAAUUCGCUAAGGAGAGCAUCGCGAGUCUAAUAGAUAAGCUACGUCACAGAGUUUAUGAAAGGGCAGGUGGUCAGCCAGGUAUGUCGGGGUGGAAAGCGAUGAAGGACCCGGUUGUGGCAAGAACAAAAGGUGCCCCUAAGAGGAAGAAGGAGUUCGACCAAUGUAGUCAACCCGACGUGCGAGGGAAGAGGCGUUGCUGCACCAAAUGUGGCACACCCGGGCAUACCAAGAGGACAUGCAGCGGGUACUGUGCACGAGGGGUGUCCGGGAUUGGUAAUGGGGUCUCCCCCACGGAUGGCAACGGUUCGCAUGACGGCCCUGCAGCCGCUUCAGCGUCUCUUCCGACCGAGCUCGGUCAUGCGUAUGAGGUAAUAUAAGGAAACAUCAUUAGGCCCAAAUGAAUGUGUUGCUUCUCAGGUUUCACCUCUGUGUGAAAUUGUGGAAUUAGUUUCCUGGAUCAGAUCACACCGCAAACCUUAGUGUUGUUUUACACUGAAAUAUUUAGGAUCAAACCUCGGGUCACGGCGAAGCUGGUCUGAAUAACGUGUCUACCUCAGCGGCAAAUACAUCCUCCAUGGUGAGUCGGAGAGGUAGUCCAUGUUGGCGUCCUCCGUUUUCUGGCGGGGGAAGUGGGGGGAACUUCUUCCUUGGGGGCCAACACAUCCACCAAUUCUAUGCAUCCCAACCUUGCUCCGGGCACCAAAGCGAUCCGCCGCCGCACGCCGGGCACGGGAGUAUGUCAACUCCGAUGAGGGCUAUGAAUGAGGACUUGUUUGAACGGUGGCUGCUCCAGAAUGUGAUGGGUCGUCGCUCGUCGAGCAAUAUGCAGGGGGGAUUUCCCACGCGUGGAACUUGAUGUUAAGCUGGGGGAUAACACAUACCGAAUACUUUGUGUCUUGCAAAAAGUUAUUAUUUUCGGUAAGGUCUGUCUUGCUAAGUGGAAGCUGCAGAUUUCACUAGUGUGUGCUCUGUUUUUCUGAUUUAUUGUAACUACAUUUCUAGUGUCUUGCUGGUGACAAAUUGAAGCAUUAUUUGAGGUUUUAGUUGGGUUUGUUUAAUUUUGUCUCCGGAAUAGCUUGGCCUAUACUCAGUUUCUCACUAUGUUCGUAGCUCCCAUUGUCUGCAUAAUUAUGGCCAGAUGAUGUUAUUUGCUUCGUUGAUGAAGAUGGAGAAUCUGCUUUCUUAGUAGAAGGACUGGCUGCUGAAGGCUUUGUCUGAGUUCCUGUAGGCUUUGAAGUUGAACUUGUUUGAGUAAAUUUAGGCUCUGAACUUGAAUGAAUUUCUUGGUGUUGCUAUUUGGAAUAUCUUAGCUGUAGGUUGCAUAGAUGUCUUUUUUUUUUGGUAAAAUGCAUCGAUGUCCUUUUUGUGCUGA